UUACACUGUAAACCCGAAUUUUGCUGGUUUGUUAUCUUAACCUGUACCUCUUAAGACCCAUUCGCCCACAGGUGGGCGAUUUGUGUUUGUUGACCACAUGUUCCCACUACACAGCGACAUAACCCGCUUCAACUUUCAUCAUUACAGACAUUCUAUACAUCGUUAGAAAGGGUAGAAUCUCCACAAUUUAUUCAUCCGGUUUUUUUUUUUUAUAAAUCAUGAGCACAAAACCAUAAAUAUUGAUAUUAACCAGCAUGGUAAACCGGAAAUGCCAAUAAAACAGAGAGACUCCCUACCUUUGAAGCAAUCCGAGAACCGUAAUAUGUGUCCAUUCCUCAAUUAUUUAUAUUCCAAAUGUCCGUGAGAAUCCACUGAUCAAAAGCAUCCACAUGGUUUUUCAUAAAAUUAUUCCAGCUUGUGAAUAUUGUCGUGUAAAGUCCAUUUGUUUACCAUCUCCAAACUUUGUUCGUCAACUAACAUCCAGAUUUUCGAAGCCGCAUGGAUAUUUUCUCUACCUCCAGUAUGGAGUUGUUGGGUAUGCUUGUUUUCAUCACUUUGCUGGCUACAAAAUGAAAGUGUCCCCGUCUUUUUCUGUUCAGUUUUCACCCCGGUACAGCCCGUGAAGUAGAUGGAGCGCUCCCAGUUCGAAGGGCCAAUGGGCUUUGUUUACUUUGUUACGCGGCUUUAGUAUAGGGACAGCGUAUUGGCUAUUGAUAUAUCAGUCACUUGGGCUUCUAGCCAAUGAGUUUACCUUUCCAACGCUACCAGGCGUGUCCAGGUGUGAUACGUAUGAGCCGAGAUAUACAGCUGCGUCAUCACGGCAGACAACUCGCUUUGCGCAUGAGCGAGCCUCCAGCGGACCAGGACGCACGCCGCACACAUUGAUCACAUUGAUUUCGCCGUUUACAAUGGCGAAAUCAACGAAGAAAACGAAAUAUUACACACAUGAAGAAGCCCUCGCUUUGAUUUUGGCUUCAUCCGAGGACAGCGAAGACAGCCAAUAUGAUUCUGAGAUAGAGGAGAUGUUCAAGCAACAAUUGGACGACGUCUUAGAUCGGUCAAUGUCUGAGGACAGUGAUGCGGAUUGGGAGCCGCAAAGCCAGACAGGCAGACCCCCGGCCCCCACUCCUACUGAAGGUGGUCGUGAGAGAUCCGGUAGUGUCUCAUCACAUGACAAUAUCUCAAUAUGGCCAUAUCAAAUGAAUGUGUGAAAAAAUUAUGUUUUGAAUCAUGGAGAAAGGUUUUAUAGUCACCAAAAUGCUUCAGUAAUGUUUCCAGUGUCACAGAAGUGAGUAAAUGCAUUUGGCACAAUUUGGCCAUUUUGGAGACAUUUUGGAGAGGUUUGGGCCGCCAGUGACCACACACCAUAAAAACUCCAUUAACUCCCAAAGCUUUAGGCCUAGAACUCCAAAUUUUUUUCCAGGUGUAGUUGGCAUGAUGUAGAAGGUAUUUGGCAUAUUGCCAUAUGCCUUACAUAAAGCACAUCCUAGUUAUUGUAGUUCAAAUAUGACCCAUUAUUUUCGAAGACAAAAAAAUUGCUUUAGAGCCAUGUCUGAACUGAUGUCAUUUAGGUUGUGUGUAUGACACAUGCCAAAUAAACAUAUCUACAGAAACUAGAGCUAGGGUUACUGUGUUAUAAGCUUUUCCAUUUGGGUAUGUGUUUAGGCGAAAAAAAACAAAAUACUGCCGGGCCUUAACCUGUUAAUAUGUUAUGGGUGCAACCAGGAAGGACAUACUAAGAGAAAUUGUUUUACUAACCCUUUUCCAUCCCAGCAAGAACAGGGCAACGGUUAUCAGGGGAGGCAAGAUCAAGGGAACUACAACCAGGGACAGCAGGGUCCCUUCAUGGGUCAGGGAUACUAGGGGUGCCCAGAGAAUCCACAGGGGGAGGGUCAGCUUGUAGCAAUCACAAAACAAGCUGAUGAGGAACCAAUACUGCAGGUUCUGAUAAAUUAUAGAGGCAUGCCAAUGAUGGCCCACACUGGAGCCACUAACACUUGCGUAGGUCCAAAUUAUGCCUCUCACCUCCCCAUGGCAGGAAAAUUCACCAAAACUUUAGGAUUCUCGGAACACACGCAGUUAAUACCUAUGACAGCUCCAAGUCAUAGGUAUAGCUCCAUUCUUAUUUUAAGUUGUAUAUGUGAGCGAAUGAGUGAGGAGUGAGUGAGUGAGUGAGAAAGAGUUACAUUGAGUUGAGUUAGAGGGGUCAGAUGAAGUGAUUUGUGAAGAGUGAGAGAGAAGAGGAAGAGUGUGUGGAUUGGCAACGAGAAGUGGCGAUGAGAUUGGAGAAGGCUUUCCGGUUAGAAUUUUCUUUGGGAGAAUGAUAUCUUUCGAUG
ensembl:lncRNA